rnacentral:lncRNA from 1 species
UUCCUCCCUCAAUGGCGGUGGUGCCGCCAAAGAGAAUGAGGCGGGGGCCAUGGGUCUUGGUGGCGGCAACGGCAGUGAGAGUGUGACCGCAGCGGGGCCCUGGCGCGUCCUCAUCGCCGUCCCAAUAGGCCUCUAACGGACGAUAGGUUGGAGCCGGAUACAGCCACGGCUUCGAACCCAUCCAAAACCUCCCACAAAUUACCCAAAAAAAUAAAUAAAUAAUUCUAUAAUAAUAAACCAGAAAUUGGUCCCAAGCUCAAAUGACUAUAUCUAAACAAAAGAAAAAAACCCAAUUUAUACAACAAUCGCAAUAGUAAUCAACCAAAAAUGGCUCCAAAGCCCAAAUGACUGUACAUAUAGCCAAGAAAAAACCAAAAAAAAAAAUAAAAAAGAACCUCGAAAGUGAUGCAGCAAUAACAGGGUAUCCAGAGCCAGCCACUGGAAUGUGGUGACAGAUAUAUUUUUGAAAAAAUAAAUUAGGAAAUGGAUUAUUUUUCAGGGCUUGUACAUUAAUUACGUUAGAAGCUGUGGAAGGGUGAAAGAAUUUUUUUCGGUAGAAGUGAAAGUUAAGGAGCACUGACAAGAAACAAAGAUUUAGCAAAUUAGGAAAAUUCUCUUAUUUCACCUAAGCACCGUCUCAUAGGCCAAAAUUUUCUAUCAAAAGUGAAAAAUCAACUCCAAUUUUAAAUUUUAAGGGUAUUUGAUAUCAUUUUUUUCCAUGAAAUUACAUUUUCUAACUUUUAUUGGGAAUUGAAGUUUUCUUUGUUUAACACCUUUUUUUUUCUUUUUUUUUUCUUUUGUUUGCAGUAGGAACAAAUUCUAAGAUUUACUGUACAAAAAUAUUUUCCUUUAAUUGACAAUUUUUAUGUAAAAUAAAGCCAAACGAACAUCCAAAAAUAGAUGAGUUUCUUGUUAUUAUUAUUUUUUUGGCAAUGGAAACAAAUUUCAUUCCCAAUACCAGUAAAUUAUAUCCCUUUAAUUGACAAUUUUCAUGUAAAACAAAGACAAACGGAUACCAAAAAACACUUCAAUUAAAAUAUUUUUCAUGUAAAAAAUUAUACCAAUCAAACACAAUAAUUUACAAUUCCCAGAAAAAUAAUUUUUCAUCAAUUCAAUUCCCUGAAAUUCGUUUUCUUUCCACCCAAAUUCCACCUUUGCAAUCAAACGGACCCUAAGAGAAAAAAAUGAAUAGGAAGCAAAAUAGAUAAGUAGGCAAACAUGCUUCAUUAUUUGAUACUUUUCAUCUCUCUUUACUUAUAAGUAAAAUAUAUAAGUAGCCAAACAUGCUUUAUUAUUAUUUUGAGAUUUUUUUUUCGGACUACUAAUCUAGAAUAGGAAGCAUUUUCUUCGGUCAAAUUAUUUGAAUGUAUAGGUUCGAUAAAGUACUUGGAUGUUCCGAAAUCAAGUUGUAUAACUUAGUUUGCAAGAAAGUAGAAAUGAGACUAAUAUCAUUCAAAGGAAUUUUAGUUGAAUGAAAAGGAAGAGUUAAUUGAAUAACAACUUCUAAAUUAUUUUUUAUUCGAUCACUUUGACCAAUUCUCUCUUUUCUUCAAUUUGCCAUGGCUAUGUUGCUCCAAAACCGAGCUUGCAACAAGAGGGUGCCUCAAAACGAAGCUGAUCAUAUAAAUCAAAGUGUUAAAAGCAUAGGAAAAUAUACUAGUAUUACAAAAAGAAAUCUUCCACUCCAAGUAUUAUUUCGAGGCGUUCCAGAAUCGAACUUUCCAAUUAUGGGCCUAGCAAAACAUAAAUUGGGAUAGGAUAUCUACAGAGGAGGGUAGAAGAAUUAAACCUAUUAUGAGACGUACAAUACAUUGCAAACAUAGUUAUCAAAAAUCGAACUGGCAAGGAACUAGUAAACCGGACACUAAUACGAUCUAAUAGACAGUAUUUGGUCCAUUUACAAUGAAACAGGACGAGAACUACCCAAAUCGGUUCAUAUAUGUCGUAAACUAUGAAAGUUUAGUUGAAUUGAAGACCAGUUCAAUGUUCGAUUUUUAUUAAAUUGGUACAUAACAAAAUUUAAUAUCAAAAUUGCUUAAAGUGAGACUCAAAAUCCAAUGAGACUAAAUGACAUUACUCAUAAUUCAUUCGUCAAUAAGGUAUCCCUGUAUUUGUGAUUCAAUUUAUGACCAAGGUAAGAAGGCAAAAACGAUGGAUAUCCUUUGGGCUUGUGGUUAUUCUUAAGACCCAAUUAAGAAGAAAAUGAUGAUGAAUUGUGUUGACUUAAAAGAAAAAUGUUGAAUAAGUUUAUGUUUUGAUUCUUAUGAUUAUGAAUUUUAGGAAAACUAAUUGACGUAUGAUGAAGCGAAUAAUCGAACAAGCACAAUCCCAAACAGUACCUAUUCACAACUAACUUUGUGAAUCAUGAUCUAAGAGUUGAAGAAUAAUUCUUCAAUUGUAUUUUAGUAAAUUAAAGGAAAAAAUCUUUAAUCUUUUACAUUUGCUUCCAUAUAAAACGCCAAAAACGAAUAAACCGAUCAAAUAAUGGGAUGAGAAAAAUGAUGAAUAAAAUUGGGACGAUGAAUACAUUACAAUAUUGUAAUUAUAUAAUAUGCUGUAAUAAAUUUUAUGAUGAAAAUAUUAUUGAACUCCGUCAUUUGUACACUAAAUUUUUACAUUUUGGUUGACAUUUACAUUAUUGUCAAAUGUCAAUUAGAUAAAAAUCUAUUUAAAAUUUAGAGCCUGUUUAAGAGGAAUUUUUUCCUCCAAAAAAUUGAUUUUUGACCGUUAUUUCACUAUUAUAGUCAUUAUAUUUGACUUCUUCUCUCACAGGUGAACCUCAUUUUUUUUCUAACAGUCAAAAAAUCAAUUUUCAAAAUUACCUCCAAACAGACUCUUAAAUUGUCCAAUUAAUCAGUGCCACAUGGCAAAACAUAACAAGGUUUAAUAUAAUUACUUUAAAAUGUUUUACACAUAAAUUUAAAACUUUCCCCCAUCUUUUUAACCACAUAUUCUUUCAAAAAUUACUAUCCAACAUCUUUUUUCUUAGCCCUCAUUUGGCCCCCAUUUUCUCGAAACGAAAAUAGAUAAAAUAACAUUUAUUUUAAAAAAUGAGUGAUUAAAAAAAAUGAAAUGUUUUCAAUUUAAAUAUAAUAUCAUUUUAUGAAAAAUUGUGAUUGAAAAUAAAAAAGAGAAAUAAAAUUUAAUGAGGCCAAAUGGAAGAUCAAUAACAGCCGUCGACCAAGGGCUAUAUACACAGAAAAACAUUUUACGAACACCUUACCUAACAUGCUUAUACAGUCAGGUUUGAGCUUCCAACUUAUUUACAAACACCUUAUCGAUCUAAGUUAAAAUAAUGCCAAAAUAUAAACAGUUCAGUUUCAAUCAAUUUUCAACAAUCUAAAUCGACCCAUUUCUAAAUGGUGUUUGGUUUGGUUUAAAUUGAAACAUUGACAAGUUCACUAAAAUAAAAACCAUUGGUUUCAAUUUGAUUUCACAAUUUGGCAAUUUUUUGCACACCUAUAAGCUAAACCUCAGCAAGUCACGACAAUCACCAUUGAAUCUGAAUGCCGAUAGUGCAAAUGUAAAAUAAAUACUAAGAAAAUUCCCAUCUUUAACUCAGAAUUUGUAUACUCUGCCUCAGAACUACUAUUCUUUGUUGGGCACAAAUCAGGUCAGCAAAUAGCAAUGACAGCGCUUACUAAUCAGCACUACCAAGUAAAGAACAUCAUCGAGCAGCACACUAAACCAUGAAGUUCACAAAGAAACUGUUCUGAAUAGAAAUUGCCAAAAAAAUUUAUAACAAAGAUUUCUUGGACUCGGAUAUAGCAAAAACAUUAACCAGUGCCUCCAAACUCAACCCAAGUCAAGAAAAACCAAACAGUAACAAUUAGUGGUUCUUGUUCCACAAAAACCACACGCAAGUGAGGUCAAGCCAACUGAACCCACCUUCACCACAGCAUACUGGCAUCUUCAACAUUUGAAAACAGAGCACAUAAUGAUAUUAGGAUCCAAUUGAAUUCAAAAGAUUAGUUCUUUAUAAAUUAUAGGCCAAAUGAUAAUCAGAGUCAAUCCACAUAUUGCAGACAAGGCAAUUGCCCAAAUAGAAAAACACAGAACAACUACUUCUUAAGUUGCAUAAUGUAAGAAUAACUGAUUAAUGACGUUUAAGUAAUAGACUCUUAUAAUUAAUGAAUAUGUUCUGUGUAUUAUAGCAAAAUAAGAUAAGUUUUUAAUCAACCAAACAUCUGAACAUCAAAACUGCCAAAAAUAAUACAUAAAAACUCUAGAACUCUUGGGAAGCAGACCCAAUCUCUUUGUCUUUUCCUCCAGCUUUCUUCGGCAACAAAUUCUGAUGUAUAUUAGGCAAAACCCCACCAUUUGCAAUUGUAACAUUUCCGAGAAGCUUGCUCAAUUCUUCAUCAUUCCUUACGGCCAGUUGUAUAUGCCUAGGCACAAUCCUGUUCUUCUUGUUGUCCCUGGCAGCAUUUCCCGCAAGCUCCAAAACCUGAAUCAUCAGGACCAAUGAAUAAAAUACCAAACUGAAAAAAAAUGGACAAAUUGAUAACAACCAAAAACCCUAACCCACCUCAGCAGCAAGGUAUUCAAGGACGGCGGAGAGGUAGACGGGGGCACCAGCGCCAACACGUUCGGCGUACUUUCCGGCCUUGAGGAAUCGAGCGAUUCUGCCAACGGGGAAUUGGAGGCCAGCCUUACUAGAUCGGGAUACGGAUUUCGAGGCCUUUGGCUUCCCUCUGCCGCCCUUGGUGGAGGCUCCGCCUGUUGAACUCAUUUUAAGAUUUGUGUUUUACUGCAAACCCUAGAAAGUAAAUGAAAUUGGAAUCGAAAUUCGUGAGAAAACGCUGAGAUUUUACGAAGAUGGAUUGGUGUGCACAGGGUUUAUAUAGGAAUUUGCUGAGUGGUGUGUUAGAAAUUGAUUGGUGAAUGGUGGAGUGGCGCGGAUCGAUGACGUGGCUUGAAAAUUGAAAACGACGGCUUUAGAAUUUGAAUUGUACUUUGAAAUUAAAAUUCGCGCGUGAAAUGCAGCGCCUAAAAACAAGUCACUAAGCGAGGAAAUACACAAAAAUGACCCUUACACUGUAGCAAAAAUUGACAUUGGCCUUUGACCAAUUAAAUAAAUUAAAAAAAAAACAAAUUAAGUUAAAAAGAAAACUUCACAGUAUUUUCCCAUUUUACCCUUCAAACUGUUUGAUAAUUCUCUCACCGACCGAACCGACCGACCAGUGGAGAAAUCCGACGGACCGACCACCGGAGUUACACCAACGUCGCAAUGAACGAUCAUCAUCUACAGUGGAAGUAAAAGAACCGGUUAGUUUUCUGAUCAAAACUCCAGUUCGAAUGCUUUUUUUCAUAGUUAGCAUCCUUAGUAAUUUUGGUUGAAAUUAGAUCCAUGGGCAUGAGUAGCUAGAUUGUGGGCAUGUUGGAAUGUGAAAAAUGUGAUUUUUUGCCAUUUUUUUGGAGCUCAGUGGCCGGGAAUGGCGGUUUCCGGCCGUUUCCCGGCCACCGGGCCUGAACAGCCAAAAACCAACUGUAACAGUCGGGUUACCGACUGUUACACUGUCUGGGCCGACACAGUCGGGUAUCUGGGCCGGAUCACCGGCCCAGAUAAUAUUUAAAUUUUAAUUUUUUUUAUAAUUUUUGUAAUUAAUUAAAUUUUUUAUUUGAUUAAAUAGUAAUUAUAUUAUUUAAUUUUUUUUAUCAUUGUCAAUAUAAUAUAAUAAUUGAAAUAUUGUAAAAUUAACAAUGUUGAUUAUUUUUUUUAUGAAAUUAUCUUUAAUUUAUUUUUUCAAAUUUUUUUUAUGAAAUUAUCUUUAAUUUUUUAUUUCAAAUUUAUUUAAUUUUUAUAUUUAUCUUUUAUAUAAUUUAAUAAUUGAAAUAUUGUAAAAUUAACAAUGUUGAUUCAAUUUUUUUUAUGAAAUUAUCUUUAAUUUAUUUUUUUAAAUUUAUUUAAAUAAUAUAAUAGUCUUUACAUUUUAAAAAAAGGUAAAGUAAUUAUUUAUUUAAUUUUUAUAUUUGUCUUUUAUAUAAUUUAAUAAUUCCUAAUUUCAUUCCUGAAAACAACUCUUGUGGCAAGCUUUAUCAACUAAGCCUCAAUUUCAUGAUUUUAAACAGCAAAACUUUAUUGCAUGUGACAACUCCUGCCAUCAAGGCAAUUUCAAAGCCAAUUAUUAGAGGAUCGUGAGUAGAAAGGGUGGACACAAGACCAAUUGUCUCUUCAUUUGCAGAAGGAACUCUUUCAGGACCUUGAGUGCAACCAGUUUCACUUAGCUCCUGAAUAUUCAGAAAAUAAAAAGAAAAGGAGAAAAAAAGAUUGAAAAAGUUAUGAUUUCGAUUGAUAAAAUGACAUGAUUUCCUUAAUCUAAAUUAUAUAAUGAAAAAUCACAUUGAAGGGUGACUGAAAAUCAAAGAUUGACCUCACCAUCAUUGCCGCUGACUGUAACAAGGUAUCUUUGCGCAACCAAGUCCAUGACGUGGCCAUAUCUAGGUCCCGGCCCCAGUCCUUGAACUACAACUCUGAGCUCCAAAAAGUGCAACGGCCAAGUCAAAGAUCAAGAAAAUCAAUUGUACCAUUCUCGGAAAGAAAUAUAGAAUUUGCAACUAUAUUCUAGAAGCUUACCGAUGCCACUUGAAUUUGUCAUUGGUCAUGUCAAGCACAUACAAGUCAUCAGUAGAAUGCCCUGCGGGACCUAUACCACCCUAGCAAAGCAGAAACUAUUGUGUUCCAAUCCAUUUCAAAAAACUAAUCUUAAACCAAAAAAUAAAAAGCAUCAAUUUUUGCUUAAAUUUACAGUUUUUUGCACACCAAUCACCUGAAAAACAACAAUGGUGCCGACGGCAGCAGCAGCAUGUGCAGCCCUAGGCGAAGGUGGGUCGCCGGCUGGUUGGAGUCUAAAUAAUGUGAAAGAAAAAAGAAAAAGACAAAAAGAUACUAUCAGCAUUUACUUUGAAGUGGAUUAUUCUAAAUUCCCACAAAAUAAAUUGGAAAAAAUACACGUAAAAAUUGAAGGAGCUAAAAUCGAACAUACCGGAUCCAUUUUCGGGUGAGAACAUCAUAGGAAUGAACUGAAUUAGUAACUCCAGCUAACCCUGAAAAUCAAAUUUAAAACAAAAAAGUUAACUUCCAACACAACUCGCAAAAUAAAAAGGAAGAGAAUUCGAUAGGAACAGUACGGAUGCCGGGGGCACCAUCGUUUCCUCCCUCAAUGGCGGUGGUGCCGCCAAAGAGAAUGAGGCGGGGGCCAUGGGUCUUGGUGGCGGCAACGGCAGUGAGAGUGUGACCGCAGCGGGGCCGUGGCGCGUCCUCAUCGCCGUCCCAAUAGGCCUCUAACGGACGAUAGGUCGGAGCCGGAUACAGCCACGGCUUCGAACCCAUCCAAAACCUCCCACAAAUUACCCAAAAAAAUAAAUAAAUAAUUCUAUAAUAAUAAACCAGAAAUUGGUCCCAAGCUCAAAUGACUAUAUCUAAACAAAAGAAAAAAA